rnacentral:rRNA from 1 species
AACGAACGCUGGCGGCAGGCUUAACACAUGCAAGUCGAGCGCCCCGCAAGGGGAGCGGCAGACGGGUGAGUAACGCGUGGGAACGUACCCUUUGCUACGGAAUAGCUCCGGGAAACUGGAAUUAAUACCGUAUGUGCCCUACGGGGGAAAGAUUUAUCGGCAAAGGAUCGGCCCGCGUUGGAUUAGCUAGUUGGUGGGGUAAUGGCCAACCAAGGCGACGAUCCAUAGCUGGUCUGAGAGGAUGAUCAGCCACAUUGGGACUGAGACAUGGCCCAAACUCCUACGGGAGGCAGCAGUGGGAAAUAUUGGACAAUGGGCGCAAGCCUGAGCCAGCCAUGCCGCGGGAGUGAUGAAGGCCUUAGGGUUGUAAAGCUCUUUCACCGGAGAAGAUAAUGACGGUAUCCGGAGAAGAAGCCCCGGUUAACUUCGUGCCAGCCGCCGCCGUAAGAC